UGUAAAACAAGAAUCAAAACCAUCUUAUCUGAGAAAGAGUUCCUUCAACAACUACCCAAAAAUUUCUUUUAAUCACUUAAUUUUUAAUUUUUUAAUUAUUAAUUUCAGAUUCAAAGAAAUGUUUAAUACAACACUAACACUAGCUUACGAACAGAGUUUGCCUCGAGGGAUUUUUCAUCCACCAUCCAUCCCCUUGUCGAACGCAGGUUUCGUCAUCCACAUUCAAAAUUGGCUUUCUUACAUGACGAUAAACCCUACUGGUGGCAACUUUCGUUC
rnacentral:lncRNA from 1 species